rnacentral:rRNA from 1 species
GACGAACGCUGGCGGCGUGCUUAACACAUGCAAGUCGAACGGAAAGGCCCUGCUUUUGUGGGGUGCUCGAGUGGCGAACGGGUGAGUAACACGUGAGUAACCUGCCCUUGACUUUGGGAUAACUUCAGGAAACUGGGGCUAAUACCGGAUAGGAGCUCCUGCUGCAUGGUGGGGGUUGGAAAGUUUGGGCGGUUGGGGAUGGACUCGCGGCUUAUCAGCUUGUUGGUGGGGUAGUGGCUUACCAAGGCUUUGAUGGGUAGCCGGCCUGAGUGGGUGACCGGCCACAUUGGGACUGGGAUACGGCCCAGACUCCUACGGGAGGCAGCAGUGGGGAAUAUUGCACAAUGGGCGGAAGCCUGAUGCAGCAACGCCGCGUGCGGGAUGACGGCCUUCGGGUGGUAAACCGCUUUCGCCUGUGACGAAGCGUGAGUGACGGUAAUGGGUAAAGAAGCACCGGCUAACUACGUG